rfam:Cryptobacterium curtum DSM 15641, complete genome.
GGGGGCGACUGGUUUCGACAUGGCAGGUUUGAACCGAGGAGCAAGUCGUGGUCUCCUCGCCACGUUAAACAGGGGUACCGUCAAAUUUAAUUGACAACAACAAAUCUUUUGGGCGUCAGUACGCCCUCGCUGCUUAAUUUAUAGCGCAGCGCGCCAACGCGGGAAUUUCUUCUGCUUCCGCUGCGGUGUUAUUUUAAGGAAGAUGCUUUCAAGCACGUAGUCGGUAUGGCUUGAAAAAAGACUGAACCGGCCAGAGAUGCAUGCAGUACGGCGAUGAGCUCGUGUGUCUCGGAUUUUUUCGUCGCAUAAGCUUGUAGAGCCUGGGGGAUUGUCUGGUAUGGACCGGAGUUCGAUUCUCCGCGCCUCCACCA